CCAUUGGCCAGGGGGCAGGGUAUCUAUAACGCCAUUGGCCAGGAGGCAGGGUAUCUAUAACGCCAUUGGCCAGGGAGGCAGGGUAUCUAUAACGCCAUUGGCCAGGGAGGCAGGGUAUCUAUAACGCCAUUGGCCAGGGAGGCAGGGUAUCUAUAACGCCAUUGGCCAGGGAGGCAUGGUAUCUAUAACGCCAUUGGCCACGAAAGCAGGAAUCUAUAACGCCAUUGGCUAGGGAGGCAGGGUAUCUAUAACGUCAUUGGCCAGGGAGGCUGGUCUCUUUACCUCUCCUCAGUGGAGCACGGGAACUCGUUUUGCAAAUGUGCCAGCAUACCAGCAGAACCAGAAUCAACAAAAUGAUGUGUGACUAGUUCUUCCAAUAACAGUAGGCUUUACUCCAAGAUCCCUCACCUCUGUUGAAUCAUCUCAACCAUCACGCAACAGAAGUAUUUAACAAUGGGACUACAAUACAACAAUCUGAACCAGGACUGUAAGCACAGAAAGUCUCUGCUGUUUGAAACUCUGAUGGGAACCAAGCUGCAGUCAGACCUUCAACAGGAGGAUAUAGAACCAGUCUCUGAUGGGAACCAAGCUGCAGUCAGACCCUUCAACAGGAGGGAAAUAUAGAACCAGUCUCUCUGAUGGGAAUACCAAGCUGCCCAGUCAGACCCUUCAACAGGAGGGAAAUAUAGAACCAGUCUCUCUGAUGGGAACCAAGCUGCAGUCAGACCCUUCAACAGGAGGGAAAUAUAAUUGGGGUUGUUUCUAUGUAUCUUUAAAAAGUUUUAAAUUGUAAAUAUAUAAAUGCAAAUAUGUAUCAUAUUGCUGUCAACAGCCAUGUACUUAAAAUGAGAUGUUUUUUCUUCUAAAAUAUUGUUUUAGAAUCAAAGCAUUGCAAUCUAGAAUACACUGUCAUGAUCAUGUAAUAAUUUAAAGUGAUACAAAAGGUUUAUUUGAAUUAUCAACAUGUGUAUUUGUAAAGAUAUGUAUAGACUUAACAUGUAGUUCAUAAGUUAGAACAAUCUUGUUCAGGAUUUAGUACUGUAAGCAAAUAUGUUUUAUUUAUUUUUCUGUAACUUAUUUUACAGCAGAACAACAUUAUUUUCACAACUGGCAGAUUUUAUUUCUCUUGUUUUUUCAUCCAUCUUGUUUUGUUUACAGUAAAAAAAAAAAAAAAAAGAAUGUAUGAAAGAUUUACAGCAAUUUUAAUGAGCAGAGCAGGACAAGGAAACUGAGUUUGAUUAAAUGUAAAGGAGUGAAACAUUA